rnacentral:rRNA from 1 species
CUCGCCUUCUGCCAGCGGUCUGGGGGCUCCCAGUUCUGGCAAUCCAUCAUCAAGCUCCUCCCAGUCCUCCGGUUUGGGACCUCGGUCGAGGUGGGGUCCGGCACCGCCACACUCUGCUGGUUCGAUAAAUGGACUGGAGACAUGCCCCUCGUGGCCCGCUUUCCUGACUUGUUCUCAAUCGCGAGUGCCCUACGGAUUUCUGUCGCGACAGCCCUUAUUGACUUAGGGCAACUCGCGUUCUGGAGACCUUUUGGCCCGGCUGAGAACGCGGACUGGCAGGAGCUGCUUGACUGCAUUGCACUACACGAGCCUGAUCUCACGACUGAAGAUGACCGUUCCAGAUGGCGUCUAAAGCCUUCUGGGCAAUUCUCCACUAAAUCUCUCUACCAGGCCAUCGCCCCCUCGCUUGGCCAUGAGGCGCUCACCUCCAUCUGGGAGAUCUGCCUCCCUCUGAAAAUUAGGAUUUUCUUGUGGCAAUGGAUUCUAGGUCGUCUCCCAUCCGGUGUGGAGGUCCUGAAGCGCAAUGGCCCCGGUGAUGGGUGUUGA